AUUGAACGCUGGCGGCAUGCCUUACACAUGCAAGUCGAACGGCAGCACGGGAGCAAUCCUGGUGGCGAGUGGCGAACGGGUGAGUAAAGUAUCGGAACGUGCCCAGUCGUGGGGGAUAACGUAGCGAAAGUUACGCUAAUACCGCAUACGAUCUAUGGAUGAAAGCGGGGGAUCGCAAGACCUCGCGCGAUUGGAGCGGCCGAUAGCAGAUUAGGUAGUUGGUGGGGUAAAAGCUCACCAAGCCGACGAUCUGUAGCUGGUCUGAGAGGACGGCCGGGCAGACUGGGACUGAGACACGGCCCAGACCCCUACGGGAGGCAGCAGUGGGGAAUUUUGGACAAUGGGCGAAAGCCUGAUCCAGCCAUGCCGCGUGCAGGAUGAAGGCCUUCGGGUUGUAAACUGCUUUUGUACGGAACGAAAAGGUUUGGCCUAAUAAGCUGAGCUCAUGACGGUACCGUAAGAAUAAGCACCGGCUAACUACGUGCCAGCCGCCGCCGUAA
rnacentral:rRNA from 1 species